rnacentral:rRNA from 1 species
AUUGAACGCUGGCGGCAGGCUUAACACAUGCAAGUCGAGCGGAGAGAGGUAGCUUGCUACUGAUCUUAGCGGCGGACGGGUGAGUAAUGCUUAGGAAUCUGCCUAUUAGUGGGGGACAACAUUUCGAAAGGAAUGCUAAUACCGCAUACGUCCUACGGGAGAAAGCAGGGGAUCUUCGGACCUUGAGCUAAUAGAUGAGCCUAAGUCGGAUUAGCUAGUUGGGGGGGUAAAGGCCUACCAAGGCGACGAUCUGUAGCGGGUCUGAGAGGAUGAUCCGCCACACUGGGACUGAGACACGGCCCAGACUCCUACGGGAGGCAGCAGUGGGGAAUAUUGGACAAUGGGCGCAAGCCUGAUCCAGCCAUGCCGCGUGUGUGAAGAAGGCCUUAUGGUUGUAAAGCACUUUAAGCGAGGAGGAGGCUACUUUAGUUAAUACCUAGAGAUAGUGGACGUUACUCGCAGAAUAAGCACCGGCUAACUCUGUGCCAGCCGCCGCAGUAAAAC